rnacentral:rRNA from 1 species
AUGACGCCGGCAGCAACCUUCCCACAAGCAGCGGCCAUGGCGUACUCGGCCUCCCUGCAGAGCUUCCUCCCGCCCUCGGCCCACGCGGCGACGUCGUCGUCCCAGCACCGGCCCAACCACGCCCGCCCCUUCCAGUGCGCGGCCGUUUCCGCCCCGUCGUCGGCGGCCGCCUCGCCGUCGGCCUCGGCCGUCCCGGCGGAGCGGCUGGAGCCGCGGGUGGUGCAGCGCUGCAACGGGAGGGCGGGUACUGGGUGCCUGACAAGCUCACCAAGCUGCCCAUGGAGCAGAUCGACGCCGACAAGCUCACCAAGCAGGACGUCGACGUGCGGCUCAAGUGGCUCGGCCUCUUCCACCGCCGCAAGCAGUAGUGUAUACCCCUGCUCUGUCAAGGUAUACUCUGAAUUCUGA